AGCGGGUCGUGACGGGAGCGGAGGCUGUCGCGACUAACCGCGCGUUCUGCGCCAGCAGGCGGGCACGGCGCCGAGCCCCCCGCAACUCCGGGGUGAGGAGGCAGCGCCGGAACAGCGCGGGCUGCGCCGCUGCGGCUUGAGGCCAUCGUGCGAGUCGGGCGAAAAGGAGGGAGGGAGUAGCUAAAGGAAGAAAAUUGGCCUCAUGAGGGGUUACUAAUAGCUUGGCUGCUGUCCCAUCGCACUCCGGUGGAAACCUCAAUCACCUUAGUCAGCCCUCAUCCAGGAAACCUGAGAAGUUCAAGUCCUGGUUCUGAUCUGGAUGCCAGUUGUUUCACAGAGUACAGGAGAAGAAGAAAUGUCCAGGCACUGUGUGAUCGUGCUGGAAGACAUCCAGUUCACCUUAUUUGUUACCCAUAAGAGAUGAGAUCUCAGCUCUUUCAGAUUUCAGUUACUGACUGAUGCACAGGAAUAAUCACACUGCAGACAAAGGAAAUUAACUGAA